AUAUGAGGAAGUAAGUACUAUCUGCUUUCGCAGAGAUCUACAUUUGAUUCACGUUCUGAAUGUGAAGUACUUUCUCUUCUCAUUAAUCUUCUACUUCUUAUUAGCCACACUUUUACAACGAUUGUAAAACAUAGUUACUAAUACAGAAUCAAGCAUUCAAGUAGAAGAACCAACUGUUUUGAACUAUUUAAGAACAAUUUACUACACCUUUGAAAGGUGUGUUCUUGACAUUUGCAAGACAUUUCUUGCAAAUA
rnacentral:lncRNA from 1 species